rnacentral:misc_RNA from 1 species
GUCUCUAUUGUUGAUUAAUUUUUUUUUUUAGUUUUUUAACAUGUAGUGUCUUUUCUCGAAAAAAAGAUAUAUUGAUCCACGGCUAGUCCGGGAUAUUAGCUAGCACGCCACCACGAUAUUAUAGGAGCUUUUCCAGUCAGGCGCGCGCGAUCCCAUUUUCUGUCUUAUUUCUAUUUUUUUUUAUUCCUGACACUAAAUUCGAUUUUUAAUUAUUUUUGUCUUAAUAUAAUUUCUUUCGUAACUUUUAAUUAUGUGUGUUAUUACGAUUUUUAUCUUUAGUCGAACCUUCUUAUGGAAAUAACAAAUAUGAUUCUGUAAAAGUCGGUGGUUGACCUUAAUCUACGUCAGUUAUCGAUUUUACACACUAUACUCUUGCAAGUUUCAUUCUGAAUAAGCAUAGUAUAUCACGGGUUAUUGCUCUUUAUGAGAAAUUGUAUUAAUUACAAGUUCGAAAAAUCGAAAUAACCUUUUUUCCAAUUAUUAAUGGCAUUAUAUUUCAGGACAGAUCAAAUAAGUAAAUUAAGAUGAAAAAAUUUAUCGAUGAAUGGAUAAGCAGGGGCUCACGGUCCCAACCCAUAAGAGAUGAUUCUUAGAAGAAAGUAGGCAUGACGAGCCGAACUAAUGCAGUGGCGAAAACACGUACGCAUCAAGUACGGUGGUCGAGUUGGUGUUGGUCAAGGACAGCAAGAGGAAGACCAGGUGCAGGUGCACGAAGUGCAGUUGCAAGGAGAAAGGUGUGCUCGACUCAAUUACGUUUAUCAUCAACCUCGACGUUGCAAUAUCAGUCCGACCAUAAUGCUUUGUUGUGGCCGGAGAAAAGAAGGAAGAGGAGAAGUAAACGACAUCAGUGCCAGUCCUGGUCGACAGGCUCCCACAACUCAAUUGCGACCUAAGGAUCCUCCUGCGAUGGUAAUACAGGGAGAUUUCCGAAAGGUUAGUGGGAUAAGCACAGAAAUUUUCAAACAAAUUGAAACGGUUGAAAAUGAUCAUGAUGCAUCAACUGCGGCUGCUCUCGAAGUAGUAGAAAGACGUGGAGAAAUGGUAGUUCGAACUAUUGAACCUCGACAAAUGGGCAGACAAGCUGCUGAAGCGGCUAAGAAAUUGACAGCGUUUCAGGACUCCAAACAUCUUGUACACUUUGUAGAGAUAAUAAAGAGGCCAGGUCAAACGUUGGGCUUGUAUAUACGUGAAGGAAAUGGGAUUGAUCGAAAUGAUGGUGUUUUCAUCUCUAGAAUAGCAAUGGAGUCAGCAGUUUACAACAGCGGUUGUUUGAAGGUUGGAGAUGAAAUUUUAGCUGUUAAUCUUGUAGAUGUGACGCAUAUGAGCUUAGAUGAUGUAGUAAUUAUAAUGUCAAUACCACGAAGAUUAGUUUUGGCAACACGACAUGGACCUCAUCAAACGAUUGCUCAAACUCGUCAAAAUGAGCACAGACCUCCACCCGUUGUAGUAAUAAAACGAGAACUUAAUGAGGAUGAAAGUGAUCACAUAACGAGUAACCAUAUUAGACGCAGAGGCGAUGGAAGAGAAAUGCUUCCAUCUCGAUCAAGACUUGGUCUCAAUGGUUUAGAGUCGAAUCAAGACAUUAAUAGUAGCAAUGGUGAUCUCUAUUACAAUUCAAGGCCUGAAGGACAUUGGUCAUAUCAACCUCCACCACCUCCAAUCAUAACACAUCAACCAAAACCUUCUACAACUCAACAUUUUCAGCCAUAUGAACGAGGAUAUCCAAAAACUUUGGAAAGUUUAGCUGAAAAAGUACAUUCAUUUUACACAAGUCCUAUGAUGCCUAAUGGUAAUCGCCGAAUGUCAGCGAGUGGUGGCAUUCAAUCAACAGCGAACACUACUAGACUUUCAGGACAAUCCCAAGGCUAUGGAUAUUCCCAGCAUACACCAAGUGGGAGAAUAAUGCCUCGAAGCGGCUCAGAUCAGCAUCUUACGCGAGUAGAUUAUUCAAAUAUUUCGACUCCAGCGCGACAUACUCUGUUGAGAUCAAAUUUGAAAUCAGGUUCUUCUACAUUACGAUAUAAUACGAGGUACGGAACUCAAGCUGAUACUUCAUCGACAUCACAACGAAGUCAGAAUCAAUUUGGGAUUCUUACAAGACGACACCGACCUUCUAUAGAUUAUGCUUCCGAUACUGAGGCUACUUGUUCUAACUCUCCAAGAUCGACGUAUUAUUAUUACAGACAAAAUAUGAAAGAUCAGUCUCAGAGUAACGCAGUAUCUCAUUUAGCAACAAUGUCAAGGACUCAAAUAGGUCAAAGUUCUGGUGGUUUGAGAUCUAACUCACUACCUCGAAGUGGUCGAUCCUUGCCACAACAGCCAAGUCUUCGAACAGGACUCACGACUGUCGCUUCAGGUCUUAUAGAUCAAGAAGACAGUGAUGGUGCGCUUUCAGCACCGGAGUUACCGUCAUUUAGAAGAGACAGAGGGAGAAUACCUUCUUCUCCCAGUGUAUUCACAUCUGAUGAAUAUCGAGCGUGGUUGAGUCGGACACCAAGUACGAGUGCAUUAUAUGAACAAAUAAGAGCAACAACUAGUAGACCACCGCGAUAUACUUAUAGUGCUGAAAAUAUUCACGCAGCAGUCAAUCAGAAAACAGAGUUAGGGAACUACGGCUCGUAUAGGCCUUUACCAGGUACGCUUGAUCGGCUUUCUACAAGAUCUGCAUCUGCUCAACAAGUUAAUUUAGCCAAUUUACGAGCAUCGACAGCUGUAAGUUCAACAUCACAUCGAGCUGGACCAGGACAAAGAUCUACUUCCGUCACUCCAAAUGCUAGAUCUGUUCUAAGCAGUCAAAAACCUUCCUUGAAUUCAGUUGCUAAUCAGAGAGCUAAUUCAGUAAGAAGAAUCAGAAAUUUGUUAGAGCUGGAACAAACCAGAAAUAUACCUACACCGACGCCGACAAGAACACAAGAUCAAAGGCUGUUAGAUAUUAAUCCUUCCGAAUUUUUAAAGUAUAAAAUUGAAAAACCACCAACAGUUGGCACGCCUAAUUCAACAAGUUCAUUAUUAAGUUCUCUUGGGGAGACAUCAAGUAGUGAUUUUGCUAGUGGAGUUAGUGGACUUCUUUGGGUCCAUCUUUUAGCGGGGCGUGGUCUGCGAUCAACGACUUCUUCAUCAGCUGCUACAACGCCAUCUACACCAUCAGGUCAACCAAAUAUUACUUCUUGUGGCUUAAGAGAUCUCUACUGCGUUUUAGAAUGUGAUCGAGUCCACAAGGCUCGUACGGUUGUACGAACUGGUGAUCUUAUGUUUGAUUGGGAUGAAACUUUCGAGUUGGAUUUAGUUGGAAAUCGUCAACUUGACCUACUCGUUUACUCUUGGGAUCCUCAACACAGGCAUAAGUUAUGUUAUAAAGGAUCAGUUCAUCUUGCGACAUUACUCAAAGAGUCUCCAAUACAUCAAUUAGCUCUUAAAGUUGAGCCAAGAGGAACUAUUUAUUUAAGAUUACGUUAUACAGAUGCUCAUCAGACAUUCAAACGACGAGGACUUCCGGUGAUAUCCUUAGCUACUAGAAUUGCUCCUCUUUUCGGAGUCGAUUUAGAUACAGUGGUGAGUAGAGAAAGUAAGACUGGCGGAGUACCGGGUGGAGUUUCUACAGCUUUAACCGUGAAUAAUAAUAUGAACAUUCCAAUAAUUGUAUGGCGUUGUGUAGAGGAAGUUGAAAGACGUGGACUCGAUAUAAUUGGAUUAUAUAGACUCUGUGGAUCUGCUACUAAAAAACGAAUACUUAGGGAAGCUUUUGAGCGUAAUGCUCGAUCAGUAGAUCUUUCUCCUGAUAACGUACCCGACAUAAAUGUUAUUACGGGAGUACUCAAAGAUUAUUUAAGAGAAUUACCAGAACCACUUUUCACCAAGUGCCUCUAUCAAAUGAUGGUUGAUGCAUUAGCGGUAUGUCUCCCUGAUGAUCCGCAAGGUAAUGCUAAGCUAAUGUUUAGUAUACUUGACUGCUUACCAAAAGUCAAUAAGUGUACCUUGAUAUAUCUCUUAGAUCAUUUAGCGUUGGUGUUGUCUCAAUGUAACAAAAUGUCACCAGCUAGUUUAGCAGUUUGUUUUGGACCAGUAUUAAUGUUGCAUUCCGAUGAUUCGACGCAUUUAGAUUUUCAACAACCAAUUGCAGUUUUAAAAUACCUUCUCGAAAUCUGGCCAGUGAAGUCAGUUCGGAAGACUUCUUCAGUCGGUUCAACACUUCCUCGAGUUACGCCAAUAAUCGGACUUACCAGCAGUACCAGCAGCAGCAAUAUUAUCAGCAAUCAUCAUCCAUCACUGCCGCAACUUCACCAAUUGUCUCAGCAUCAACAAAAUCCAGUAUUUCCGGGUGCAUUAACUCGAACCAUGCUGCCUUGGCAGCCGCCACUCUCACUUCAUCAUCCGCCAGCCAAUUCAAUUCCUAUGGGAUACGGCCUAUCCACUCGUCCACCUCUACAAAUCAAGCAGCGACAGGUGGUAGUAUCGUCUCCCGGUUCACCUAGCAGUGAGGAGUCAGCUUCACCUGAAUCAAAUAAUAAGAACUCACAAAAUAAAUUAAAUUCAAUAAUGAGUGCAACAAAACUAUCAACAGCAACAUUUAAUGAAACUACACCUUCAACUACAACAACAACAAUAACAACAACGACUACAACAAUUAAUACGAUUCGACAUGAACAAAGCACGCCUACAAGUAGUGCGAAUACUGAAGAAGGCAAUACACUUAAUUCAAGUGAACAUCAACGACGAAUCGAUCAUGAUGCUGAGGCUAGUCAUGAUGAUCUCAUUUUAAAAAAUAAUAAAUCUUGAAUUCAAUAAGCAUCAUGAAACUAAAGGUGAGGGUGAGAAUAAUAAAAAAUAAGUCGAUACAAAUAAACCUAACUUAUAAAGUAAUGCCAAAUAUCUUUUCAUCUUUGUUCGAUUACUACACAGUCUGACCAAUACAUCAAUUGAAGCCAAUGUUUCGCAUAUCAAGCCGAACGCACAUUUUAUCACUGCCUUGGAUUAAAUAGAAAUUAACAUAAUGGAUUUGAAGAUAAAAAUGUCUUAAUACAAAUAUACUGUCAUUUACUGAGAAUGUAAGUUUAACAAUACCAGUAUUAAUUUAUAUAAUUGGUCUUAAAUAAUUAAUUAAUUUGUUGCACAUUAUCUGUUAUAUGAACUAAGCUUGAUGUCAGUAUAUAUCUAUAAGUAAGCUCGAGAAUUGAUAGAACUAUAUUAUCACAAUUAAUAUAGAUACGGAUAAUGUAAAAAUAAAAAAUCAAAGCCGAUAAUAUCUAUAACGAUGAAAAAUGUAUUUAUCAGUAUUUAUAUCAUAGUUGUAAAUUUAUUUCAAUUAUUUAUAAUUCUACUUUAUUAAGAAAAAUAGCUUUAAGCCAUAAAUGUAUAAAGAAUGAGUGUUGCAUGAACAAAUAAGUUGAAUAAUUAUGUAGUUCGUAUUUUCAACUCAAAAUUUAACACGAUAUGAAAACAAUAAACAGUAAUCGUAAGAGGUGAUGAAAUAAGAAAUUAAGUUGAAAUAUAUAUCCAUCACCGACCGCUCUGUUUCGAAAUGUAUUUAUAUAAGAAGAAAAAAAUUUUUUUCCAUGUCUGUACUGAAAAUUUAAAUUCCUACUUUGUUUGUGGGAAGGAUUGGUGCUUUUGUUCUGUGAGUAAACAAUCGUCAUAACUUGAUAGGUAAUUUAACCUUACUGCAAAACAAAAGCAAAAAUUUUUAAUUUGGAUAGCAGAUACGG